rnacentral:rRNA from 1 species
GACGAACGCUGGCGGCGUGCCUAAUACACGCAAGUCGAACGAACUCUGGUAUUGAUUGGUGCUUGCAUCAUGAUUUACAUUUGAGUGAGUGGCGAACUGGUGAGUAACACGUGGGAAACCUGCCCAGAAGCGGGGGAUAACACCUGGAAACAGAUGCUAAUACCGCAUAACAACUUGGACCGCAUGGUCCGAGCUUGAAAGAUGGCUUCGGCUAUCACUUUUGGAUGGUCCCGCGGCGUAUUAGCUAGAUGGUGGGGUAAUGGCUCACCAUGGCAAUGAUACGUAGCCGACCUGAGAGGGUAAUCGGCCACAUUGGGACUGAGACACGGCCCAAACUCCUACGGGAGGCAGCAGUAGGGAAUCUUCCACAAUGGACGAAAGUCUGAUGGAGCAACGCCGCGUGAGUGAAGAAGGGUUUCGGCUCGUAAAACUCUGUUGUUAAAGAAGAACAUAUCUGAGAGUAACUGUUCAGGUAUUGACGGUAUUUAACCAGAAAGCCACGGCUAACUACGUGCCAGCAGCCGCGGUAAUACGUAGGUGGCAAGCGUUGUCCGGAUUUAUUGGGCGUAAAGCGAGCGCAGGCGGUUUUUUAAGUCUGAUGUGAAAGCCUUCGGCUCAACCGAAGAAGUGCAUCGGAAACUGGGAAACUUGAGUGCAGAAGAGGACAGUGGAACUCCAUGUGUAGCGGUGAAAUGCGUAGAUAUAUGGAAGAACACCAGUGGCGAAGGCGGCUGUCUGGUCUGUAACUGACGCUGAGGCUCGAAAGUAUGGGUAGCAAACAGGAUUAGAUACCCUGGUAGUCCAUACCGUAAACGAUGAAUGCUAAGUGUUGGAGGGUUUCCGCCCUUCAGUGCUGCAGCUAACGCAUUAAGCAUUCCGCCUGGGGAGUACGGCCGCAAGGCUGAAACUCAAAGGAAUUGACGGGGGCCCGCACAAGCGGUGGAGCAUGUGGUUUAAUUCGAAGCUACGCGAAGAACCUUACCAGGUCUUGACAUACUAUGCAAAUCUAAGAGAUUAGACGUUCCCUUCGGGGACAUGGAUACAGGUGGUGCAUGGUUGUCGUCAGCUCGUGUCGUGAGAUGUUGGGUUAAGUCCCGCAACGAGCGCAACCCUUAUUAUCAGUUGCCAGCAUUAAGUUGGGCACUCUGGUGAGACUGCCGGUGACAAACCGGAGGAAGGUGGGGAUGACGUCAAAUCAUCAUGCCCCUUAUGACCUGGGCUACACACGUGCUACAAUGGAUGGUACAACGAGUUGCGAACUCGCGAGAGUAAGCUAAUCUCUUAAAGCCAUUCUCAGUUCGGAUUGUAGGCUGCAACUCGCCUACAUGAAGUCGGAAUCGCUAGUAAUCGCGGAUCAGCAUGCCGCGGUGAAUACGUUCCCGGGCCUUGUACACACCGCCCGUCACACCAUGAGAGUUUGUAACACCCAAAGUCGGUGGGGUAACCUUUUAGGAACCAGCCGCCUAAGGUGGGACAGAUGAUUAGGGUG